rfam:Brachypodium distachyon strain Bd21 chromosome 2, whole genome shotgun sequence.
AUAUUACUCACUCCGUCUAACAAAGGAUGUCUCAAUUUUGACUAAAUUUAAAUGUAUCUAUACACUAAGUCAUGUCUAGAUACAUUCAAAUUUUGACAGACUUGAGACAUACUUUGUUGAACGGAGGGAAUAAUAA